rnacentral:lncRNA from 1 species
CAUCUUUCAUUAGCUGGAGAAAAGUCUUUGCCCUCAGAUCAAGCCCCGGGAGAAGGGGGAGCCUGGAAGGAGGCCUCAGAUGUCUGCACAACUUGUAUAUGCUGUGAAAGGAACCCUGAUGAAAGGUUAGGGCAGUGGGAUGGACGAUACCCAGUGAAAGGCAUGCGCAGCACGUCUGAUUGCUUUUUGCUGUGGAAUCCUUAUUUCCAGGGAAUCCAAUCCUUCUUGUGAUGGCCAGGAAAGGUGUUUGUGAGGGGAAGGCUAGUGCCUGUUAACCUCUUCAGUGCUGGGUUCUCCAGUGCUGUCACCUGCAGUGUGGGGGAGCCUAAAGACUGAGACCAGGCAGUCUGUAUCCAUCUGUACUUUGUAUGAGAGGAUUCCUUCUCAUCUGACAGGCGUGAUAGAAACACAAAAACAGAGAAGUGAGAUCUCUCACCUGUUAAACAGAAUCCAGACUGUGUGAUUUCUUAGCAAUGAAUUGAUAAACUUCUAACACGCUAGUUUUCCCAUUGGGGUUGGCUGCAUA